rnacentral:rRNA from 1 species
GAGUGUCAAGUCAGCAUGGCCUUUACUAUCCUGGGCUACACACACGCUACAAUGGCAGAUACAAUAGGUUGCGAAACCGCGAGGUGGAGCCAAUCCUCAAAGUCUGUCUCAGUUCAGAUUGUAGGCUGCAACUCGCCUGCAUGAAGUUGGAGUUGCUAGUAAACGCAGGUCAGCUAUACUGCGUUGAAUACGUUCCCGGGGUUU